rnacentral:rRNA from 2 species
GGGUGUGAUCAUACCAUCACUAAUGCACCGGAUCCCAUCAGAACUUCGCAGUUAAGCAUGCUUGGGCGAAAGUAGGACUAAGUUGGGUGACCACUUGAGAAGUCCUCGUGUUGCACUCC